AGAUCUGUGGCUCUGUGGUAAAAGCACUGCCCCACGACUUCAGAGGUUGCUGGUUCGAUCCCAACCAGAUCUC
rnacentral:tRNA from 1 species